CUCUCAGUGCUGUGGACACAGAGCCGCCACGCAUGCCACCCCUCAGCCCAUCCAGAAGAACACAGCACAUGCUGCCACUUGCAGGCUGGCUACACAAACCACACAAGACUGACCCCUCCAUCAGAGACAUGCCAAUCCAACCACUCCUAAAAAACAUACAAAGCCACAUGGAUUCCUCCAAGUCAUUACAACAGAGGCCAGCUUGCUACCUGACUGAUGCCCAGUGUUACCGGGGUGACCAUCCACACUCAUCACAGGGACUGAGGAGAAACUCAGGCAUUGAACAUCGGAAUGGACUUCAAAAUGGCAUCCUCCCAGGCGUUAGGCACCUCCUACCACAGGCCCACUACCGGAGGUCUCGCUCCAAUACUACACUGGA